AAGCAGGAAAGAAAGGGGCUCACUGCGGCGGACGGCCCUGAGCCCGCGUUAGCGACAGCCCGCGCACGACGCCCGCCCGGGCCUGCAGGGCGAGCGGGAGACCGAGGAGCAGCCGACGCCUCGGCCCGGCCCAGCGGGGACCCGCCCAGGGGCCACUCCCCAAGGGAGGCAGCCAGUCACUCGCCCGCCCCGCCAGGCCCGCUCCUGAGGGGACGGACUCCCGCCCGCCCUCACACCGCGCCUCACGCCAGGCCCCCAGGCUUCGGGUAAACCCUGCCUGUGGAAUGCAGAGUGAUUGACGCUGUCCACCUCAAAAGACGUCAGAAGCUUCAAGGAAGAUGUCCCAGGGGGACUGUGCUGUGAAACAGAUGAAACAGGUGACUCUGGGAUGAGUGAUGAGUGUAACUCAGGGCAGGAAGCAGUGAAGAAGAGAAGAGCUCUUGCUAUGGAGUACCCAUGGACACUGCCUCCCCUGGUCUCCAUAAGCUAAUGUGGUUCUCAAGCUCUACCUUGUCGGGUGAGGGAGGGCGCCCCCCUGUGAUGGGAGAGAGGCUGAGGGCUGCACCGGCUGCUGCGAUGAUGCUUGUUGCUGCAUGCGAUCCUGAAGGCUUCGUGCUUUUCGAAUACUGAUUUGCAACUUCUUAUCG
rnacentral:lncRNA from 1 species